GUUGGUGUUGUCUGUACUGUCAUGGUGGUUUCAGAGAGGGUUAGUUGGUGUUGUCUGUACUGUCAUGGUGGUUUCAGAGAGGGUUAGUUGGUAUUGUCUGUACUGUCAUGGUGGUUUCAGAGAGGGUUAGAUGGUGGUUGUCUGGGGUUGGUAGAUGAGGUGAGAUUAGCUUGGCGUCUGUGAACUGUAGUGUUAUUGUUCUAAGAUUGUAGAGUGGCGUGAUGGAUGGAUGGAUGGAUGGAUGGAUAGGUGGUGGGAGUACAUUAUUAGAAGGAUUCCACAGGUUGUUGUGGUAGAUAAGAUGUAUCAGUCACUGUCUGACAGUGGAUAGGAUGUUUGCUGUAGUGUUGUUAGUGGAGGUUAGGACUAGUAACAGGGAUGUUGUAGUGUUUGUGGAGGUUAGGACUAGUAACAGGGAUGUUGUGGUGUUGGUGGAGGUUAGGACUAGUAACAGGGAUGUUGUGGUGUUUGUGGAGGUUAGGACUAGUAACAGGGAUGUUGUAGUGUUAGUGGAGGUUAGGAUUAGUAACAGGGAUGUUGUGGAGGUUAGGACUAGUAACAGGGAUGUUGUAGUGUUUGUGGAGGUUAGGACUAGUAACAGGGAUGUUGUAGUGUUAGUGGAGGUUAGGAUUAGUAACAGGGAUGUUGUGGAGGUUAGGACUAGUAACAGGGAUGUUGUAGUGUUUGUGGAGGUUAGGACUAGUAACAGGGAUGUUGUAGUGUUUGUGGAGGGUAGGACUAGUAACAGGGAUGUUGUAGUGUUGGUGGAGGUUAGGACUAGUAACAGGGAUGUUGUGGAGGUUAGGACUAGUAACGGGGAUGUUGUGGUGUUGGUGGAGGUUAGGACUAGUAACAGGGAUGUUGUAGUGUUUGGAGGUUAGGACUAGUAACAGGGAUGUUGUAGUGUUAGUGGAGGUUAGGACUAGUGACAGGGAUGUUGUGGUGUUAGUGGAGGUUAGGACUAGUGACAGGGAUGUUGUGGUGUUAGUGGAGGUUAGGACUAGUGACAGGGAUGUUGUAGUGUUAGUGGAGGUUAGGACUAGUAACAGGGAUGUUGUAGUGUUAGUGGAGGUUAGGACUAGUAACAGGGAUGUUGUAGUGUUAGUGGAGGUUAGGACUAGUAACAGGGAUGUUGUAGUGUUUGGAGGUUAGGACUAGUAACAGGGAUGUUGUAGUGUUUGUGGAGGUCAGGACUAGUAACAGGGAUGUUGUAGUGUUAGUGGAGGUUAGGACUAGUAACAGGGAUGUUGUAGUGUUUGUGGAGGUUAGGACUAGUAACAGGGAUGUUGUAGUGUUGGUGGAGGUUAGGACUAGUAACAGGGAUGUUGUGGUGUAGGUGGAGGUUAGGACUAGUAACAGGGAUGUUGUGGUGUUGGUGGAGGUUAGGACUAGUAACAGGGAUGUUGUAGUGUUAGUGGAGGUUAGGACUAGUAACAGGGAUGUUGUAGUGUUGGUGGAGGUUAGGACUAGUAACAGGGAUGUUGUAGUGUUGGUGGAGGUUAGGACUAGUAACAGGGAUGUUUUAGUGUUAGUGGAGGUUAGGACUAGUAACAGGGAUGUUGUAGUGUUAGUGGAGGUUAGGACUAGUAACAGGGAUGUUGUAGUGUUGGUGUAGGUUAGGACUAGUAACAGGGAUGUUGUGGUGUUGGUGUAGGUUAGGACUAGUAACAGGGAUGUUGUGGUGUUGGUGGAGGUUAGGACUAGUAACAGGGAUGUUGUAGUGUUUGGAGGUUAGGACUAGUAACAGGGAUGUUGUGGUGUUGGUGGAGGUUAGGACUAGUAACAGGGAUGUUGUAGUGUUUGGAGGUUAGGACUAGUAACAGGGAUGUUGUGGUGUCGGUGUAGGUUAGGACUAGUAACAGGGAUGUUGUAGUGUUCAUUGAGGUUAGGACUAGUUACAGGGAUGUUGUAGUGUUCAUUGAGGUUAGGACUAGUAACAGGGAUGUUGUAGUGUUCAUUGAGGUUUGGACUAGUAACAGGGAUGUUGUAGUGUUAGUGGAGGUUUGGACUAGUGACAGGGUUACAGAGCCAUGGUGGUGUUGAUGUUGUCUCUAUGGAAGUGCUGCCCUGGAAGAGCAAGGUAUUCAUCCAGUGUUGUAGACCCAGCCGUGCAUUUCUCUCUCUGUCAUUUUCUGUCUCUUUCUGUCUGUCUCUCUUUGUCGCUCUCUCUUUCUCUCGCUCUCCCUCCUUCUCUCUCUUCAUCUGUCUCUC
rnacentral:lncRNA from 1 species